UACGUAGGGCGCAAGCGUUAUCCGGAAUUAUUGGGCGUAAAGAGCUCGUAGGCGGUUUGUCGCGUCUGCCGUGAAAGUCCGGGGCUCAACUCCGGAUCUGCGGUGGGUACGGGCAGACUAGAGUGAUGUAGGGGGAGACUGGAAUUCCUGGUGUAGCGGUGAAAUGCGCAGAUAUCAGGAGGAACACCGACGGCGAAGGCAGGUCUCUGGGCAUUAACUGACGCUGAGGAGCGAAAGCAUGGGGAGCGAACAGG
rnacentral:rRNA from 1 species